GCUCCAAUGGGUCAGUGUUAGACCGGCCUCGAAAUUUGGAAAAUUUAUUUGAAGGUGUCGAGGCAGACGUGGGUUCGAAUCCCGCUUGGAGCG